UACAGAGGUCCCAAGCGUUGUUCGGAUUCAUUGGGCGUAAAGGGUGCGUAGGCGGUCUGUCACGUCGGAUGUGAAAACUCGGGGCUCAACCCCGAGCCUGCAUUCGAUACGGGCAGACUAGAGUUCGGUAGGGGAGACUGGAAUUCCUGGUGUAGCGGUGAAAUGCGCAGAUAUCAGGAGGAACACCGGUGGCGAAGGCGGGUCUCUGGGCCGAUACUGACGCUGAGGAGCGAAAGCGUGGGGAGCGAACAGG
rnacentral:rRNA from 1 species